rfam:Gorilla gorilla gorilla genomic chromosome, chr14, whole genome shotgun sequence
GCCGGGCGUGGUGGCUCACGCCUGUAAUCCCAGCACUUUGGGAGGCCGAGGCGGGUGGAUCACCUGAGGUCAGGACUUCAAGACCAGCCUGACCAACAUGGUGAAACCCCUUCUCUA